ACAUCUCUUUCAGUCUUCGUAGGGGCAUUGACAACAGAGUUUCAGUGUAGUUCCUAAUUAAAGAUUAAGAAUACUUUGAAAAUAUAAAACAAAUGUAUAUUUUUUAAUGUAUCAUUUGGGGCCUUAACCAUUGAGGAAAUCAUAGAGAAGUUUGUCGUGAGGGACAAGGGGAAUAUACCACACGUUUACAGGAAACAAAAAGGUAAGAAUAAGUUUUAUAAUUUUAUUCUUUGGAGGUCAUGAAAAAAAUUUCUUAAUAUCUUUGCAAUUCACCAGUUGUAUUUUCUCCUAGAAAAGAAAAUGUAGCAAAUUUAUUUGGGGAAAUAAUAUAUUUAAACAAUGUAAUGCAUGCCAUAUAAGAAAAUUUUUAGGGUUUUAAAAUUAGUAUAGCUGUGUUGACUUAUGAAAAUAAAAAAGGUAUCUUGUCUGUCCAGAAUCAUUAGGCCAUAAGUCAUUUGGAAGAUAAAUAUUUUCUAAUGAGUUAAGAAUUUAUACCUUUACUCACUAUAAGGAUUUGCUUAUAUUUUAAAUAUUUUAUAGAAGUUUUUUCUAAAAUAUUGUGUAUGAAUGUGUGUGUGUUUUUAGAGUAUGGUGUGAUGAAUAUAAUUCGAGCAUCAUGCUGAGAGCAAAAAUAGGGCUUGGCAUUGAUGGAUCAGGAUUCUAGUUUUACCUUUUAGCAGCUUUUGGGAAAGUUGCUAAAAUAGUUCUGAGUCUCAAAGGUUUUAUUUGUUUUUGUUUAUUUUGUUUUAGUCUGUGAUGUAGGGAUAAUGAUAUAUUUCUUGGGAUUGUUGUAAAAAUUAAAUUUGAUUGAAAUUACACAAGUUCCCUGGUACUCACCCAUUCCUUAGAUGACUUGAAACCAUCAUUGUGAACAUCAGUUAAGAGAUUUGUUUGACCAUCUUCUAAUUAAGACUGAGGUUUUUUAGUUCCUUUGUCUGAUUAAACAUUUUUUCUGUUUCUUUUGUCAUUUCUCCUCCAAUUUGCUCCCUCUAAUUUACAGUAAGCCUUGAAAAACAGAUAUAUAUUUUAAAAAGGAAUAAAAAUACAACCAUCCAAAAAGCCAACUAAAAAGUAAUUCUUUGAACCACUAUACUAAUUGUGUACAAAUGUGCUGUUCGAUUCAGUAGGUCCAGUCCACAUUUUAAUUUUAAUUAAGAGUUCAGUUCUUGAGUUUCACCUUUCAAAUGGGUGAUAACCACAGUAGCUAGUAGCUGCUGUACUAGAUAGCAUAGAGAAGCAUUUCGAUCAUCACAGAAGAUUCUGUUUUACAAUGCUGGUCUACAAUGUCUAAAGCUCUGAAUUUGUGUUGUGGAAUUCUGAAGAUGAGUGGAAUGUGGCUCUUGCUUUCAAUGUAACUCAAGUCUGUGAAAGAAAAUACUUAGGGGAAAUGUUUGGAAAAUAUGAAAAAUUCAGUGAUGUGGAUGAUGACUAUUUGACAAACAUUGGGGAGUUAGCGUAAACAGUUCAGGAUAAAAGGAAGAUAGAAAUGACUGAGCUGAAACCUAAAGCAUAUUAGUGAUAUUUGUGACCUUCCCAGUGCAUGAAAGAUUAUAAAACAUUCCAAUGUGGGCCCACUUGCAAGAGGAGGCAAGGGGAAGGG
rnacentral:lncRNA from 1 species